AACAAGCUUGCUUGUUGGGGUUGUAGGACACUCUAUACGGAGUUACAAAGGACGACAUUAGACGAAUCAUCUGGAAAGAUGAAUCAAAGAAGGUAAUAAUCCUGUAGUCGAAAAUGUUGUCUCUCUUGAGUGGAUCCUGAGUACGACGGAGCACGUGAAAUUCCGUCGGAAUCUGGGAGGACCAUCUCCUAAGGCUAAAUACUCUCUAGUGACCGAUAGUGAACCAGUACCGUGAGGGAAAGGUGAAAAGCACCCCGGAAGGGGAGUGAAAUAGAACCUGAAACCGUGUGCUUACAAGUAGUCAGAGCCCGUUAAUGGGUGAUGGCGUGCCUUUUGUAGAAUGAACCGGCGAGUUACGAUUUGAUGCAAGGUUAAGCAGUAAAUGUGGAGCCGUAGCGAAAGCGAGUCUGAAUAGGGCGUUUAGUAUUUGGUCGUAGACCCGAAACCAGGUGAUCUACCCUUGGUCAGGUUGAAGUUCAGGUAACACUGAAUGGAGGACCGAACCGACUUACGUUGAAAAGUGAGCGGAUGAACUGAGGGUAGCGGAGAAAUUCCAAUCGAACCUGGAGAUAGCUGGUUCUCUCCGAAAUAGCUUUAGGGCUAGCCUCAAGUGAUGAUUAUUGGAGGUAGAGCACUGUUUGGACGAGGGGCCCCUCUCGGGUUACCGAAUUCAGACAAACUCCGAAUGCCAAUUAAUUUAACUUGGGAGUCAGAACAUGGGUGAUAAGGUCCGUGUUCGAAAGGGAAACAGCCCAGACCACCAGCUAAGGUCCCAAAAUAUAUGUUAAGUGGAAAAGGAUGUGGCGUUGCCCAGACAACUAGGAUGUUGGCUUAGAAGCAGCCAUCAUUUAAAGAGUGCGUAAUAGCUCACUAGUCGAGUGACACUGCGCCGAAAAUGUACCGGGGCUAAACAUAUUACCGAAGCUGUGGAUUGUCCUUUGGACAAUGGUAGGAGAGCGUUCUAAGGGCGUUGAAGCAUGAUCGCAAGGACAUGUGGAGCGCUUAGAAGUGAGAAUGCCGGUGUGAGUAGCGAAAGACGGGUGAGAAUCCCGUCCACCGAUUGACUAAGGUUUCCAGAGGAAGGCUCGUCCGCUCUGGGUUAGUCGGGUCCUAAGCUGAGGCCGACAGGCGUAGGCGAUGGAUAACAGGUUGAUAUUCCUGUACCACCUAUAAUCGUUUUAAUCGAUGGGGGGACGCAGUAGGAUAGGCGAAGCGUGCGAUUGGAUUGCACGUCUAAGCAGUAAGGCUGAGUAUUAGGCAAAUCCGGUACUCGUUAAGGCUGAGCUGUGAUGGGGAGAAGACAUUGUGUCUUCGAGUCGUUGAUUUCACACUGCCGAGAAAAGCCUCUAGAUAGAAAAUAGGUGCCCGUACCGCAAACCGACACAGGUAGUCAAGAUGAGAAUUCUAAGGUGAGCGAGCGAACUCUCGUUAAGGAACUCGGCAAAAUGACCCCGUAACUUCGGGAGAAGGGGUGCUCUUUAGGGUUAACGCCCAGAAGAGCCGCAGUGAAUAGGCCCAAGCGACUGUUUAUCAAAAACACAGGUCUCUGCUAAACCGUAAGGUGAUGUAUAGGGGCUGACGCCUGCCCGGUGCUGGAAGGUUAAGAGGAGUGGUUAGCUUCUGCGAAGCUACGAAUCGAAGCCCCAGUAAACGGCGGCCGUAACUAUAACGGUCCUAAGGUAGCGAAAUUCCUUGUCGGGUAAGUUCCGACCCGCACGAAAGGCGUAACGAUUUGGGCACUGUCUCAACGAGAGACUCGGUGAAAUCAUAGUACCUGUGAAGAUGCAGGUUACCCGCGACAGGACGGAAAGACCCCGUGGAGCUUUACUGUAGCCUGAUAUUGAAAUUCGGCACAGCUUGUACAGGAUAGGUAGGAGCCUUUGAAACGUGAGCGCUAGCUUACGUGGAGGCGCUGGUGGGAUACUACCCUAGCUGUGUUGGCUUUCUAACCCGCACCACUUAUCGUGGUGGGAGACAGUGUCAGGCGGGCAGUUUGACUGGGGCGGUCGCCUCCUAAAAGGUAACGGAGGCGCUCAAAGGUUCCCUCAGAAUGGUUGGAAAUCAUUCAUAGAGUGUAAAGGCAUAAGGGAGCUUGACUGCGAGACCUACAAGUCGAGCAGGGUCGAAAGACGGACUUAGUGAUCCGGUGGUUCCGCAUGGAAGGGCCAUCGCUCAACGGAUAAAAGCUACCCCGGGGAUAACAGGCUUAUCUCCCCCAAGAGUUCACAUCGACGGGGAGGUUUGGCACCUCGAUGUCGGCUCAUCGCAUCCUGGGGCUGUAGUCGGUCCCAAGGGUUGGGCUGUUCGCCCAUUAAAGCGGUACGCGAGCUGGGUUCAGAACGUCGUGAGACAGUUCGGUCCCUAUCCGUCGUGGGCGUAGGAAAUUUGAGAGGAGCUGUCCUUAGUACGAGAGGACCGGGAUGGACAUACCUCUGGUGUACCAGUUGUCGUGCCAACGGCAUAGCUGGGUAGCUAUGUGUGGACGGGAUAAGUGCUGAAAGCAUCUAAGCAUGAAGCCCCCCUCAAGAUGAGAUUUCCCAACUUCGGUUAUAAGAUCCCUCAAAGAUGAUGAGGUUAAUAGGUUCGAGGUGGAAGCAUGGUGACAUGUGGAGCUGACGAAUACUAAUCGAUCGAAGACUUAAUCAA
rnacentral:rRNA from 1 species